rnacentral:rRNA from 1 species
CCCCAUAGUCUGGGAUACCACUUGGAAACAGGUGCUAAUACCGGAUAGAAAGCGGAUCGCAUGAUCAGCUUUUAAAAGGCGGCGUAAGCUGUCGCUAUGGGAUGGCCCCGCGGUGCAUUAGCUAGUUGGUAAGGUAAAGGCUUACCAAGGCGAUGAUGCAUAGCCGAGUUGAGAGACUGAUCGGCCACAUUGGGACUGAGACACGGCCCAAACUCCUACGGGAGGCAGCAGAA